CCCACGGCUGGGUGACCGCAGCGGCAAGCCAGUCCCUGCCCUGGACAGACGUCCCGCUCUGCCCGCGGGCCGUCAACUCUGGGCCCCGCACCCGGGUCGGGGGCCUGCGGGGUUCCCUUCCGGAGACACGCAGUCUUCUCUCCCAGCCGGGGGUGCCAGCCCGGCGCGGCCACCCACCUGCCCCGGACCAGGCGCCGGCCCUCUGGGUUUUCUGCCUCUCCCUGCAGUGAGUCUGCUUCGCCCACGCAAAACGAAGUCUGUUUUACGGACGGAAAGCUAAGACACUGGCAGUUGGAUGUGACUUUUUCAGUGCCACACCCUGUGCACACUUACGUCCAAGGUCGCCCGCCUUUCUCAGUAACAAGCGGAUUGGAAAGUGUAAAUGACGACGGUUAGAACACGCACACUGACGCGCUUCCCGGGACACAGCCCCGCGGGGUCGGUGGGUUGGGCACGAGCACGGUCACCGCACCGCCCAACGAAUCCGCAAACGUCUGCUCCGUCAGAGAACCGGCUGUGGCACAAGAACUGUGCUCCGCCCUCCGUCUCUCGUGCCUCCGCUGUGGCCCCGACGGCCCAGCUGCAGCACCGGGGCCGGGAGGCCGCGUCACUAGGCACGGCAACACGCAGACAGCCGCCGGACCUCGCCUGUCUGCGCCGUCCUGUGCCCGCCGUGUGCCCAGCGUCCGACCUGAGGACGGGACUUCACAAAUGACGCUGCCGCUUUCCAUCCUUCUCCAAACGAGCCACCGCCACGGCGGCGCGUGGCCAGUCUCGUGUGCCUGGAGCUGUCACCUGCCGAGUGGCACACGGACUAUGACACGCACAGAGUACAUUUCACAUCGUGAAAGAUGCUCUUGGCCGUGUCUCCCUCUUCUGCGCCCACUGGUCCUGGGGCGUCCUUGCAAGAGGCUCGGGCGACGGCCGUUGUUCUGGCCCCGCACGUGUGGAUCUGCUGAAUGUCCUCGUCGGACAUUGGGUGCCAUGCGUUUUGUCUCAUAUAGAUGAGACCCCAAAGCUUUCUUCCUGCCGCGCAUUUAACUUUAAAAAGAAUAAAACAGACAAGAAACAUCUCUGUACAAAUUAAGAUAAUAAAAUUAGCAUUUCCAACCACAGGAAGAGGUGGUAUUCACAAUCAUUGCUCUGCUUUGAUAGUAAGUUAAGGGUCGAAUCUUAUUUUAGUUUUAAGAAAUAGGACAUUCCUCUUAUUAAAAAUAAAUAUUUUA